UCCUACGGGAGGCAGCAGUGGGGAAUAUUGCACAAUGGGGGAAACCCUGAUGCAGCAACGCCGCGUGAAUGAUGAAGGCCUUUGGGUCGUAAAGUUCUUUGAUUGGGGACGAUAAUGACGGUACCCAAAAAACAAGCCACGGCUAACUACGUGCCAGCAGCCGCGGUAAUA
rnacentral:rRNA from 1 species